rfam:Neotoma lepida isolate 417 scaffold_22, whole genome shotgun sequence.
CUAUAGUCAGAAAUGAGCUUAUUCAUCAAAGUACAAUAACAGGCAGUAAGUCUGUAAUUUCAUGUGUAAGCUGGUCUCUGACUGAA